rnacentral:rRNA from 1 species
GAUGAACGCUAGCGGAGGCUUAACACAUGCAAGUCGAGGGGCAGCAUAGGGUAGCAAUACUCUGAUGGCGACCGGCAAACGGGUGAGUAACGCGUAUGUAACCUACCCUGUACAGGGGGAUAACCCGGAGAAAUUCGGACUAAUAUCCCAUAACAAUAUCCGGGGGCAUCUUUGGAUAUUUAAAGUUCCGGCGGUACGGGAUGGGCAUGCGUAACAUUAGCUAGUUGGUAAGGUAACGGCUUACCAAGGCUUUGAUGUUUAGGGGUCCUGAGAGGGUGGUCCCCCACACUGGUACUGAGACACGGACCAGACUCCUACGGGAGGCAGCAGUGAGGAAUAUUGGUCAAUGGGCGGCAGCCUGAACCAGCCAUCCCGCGUGAAGGAAGAAUGCGCUAUGCGUUGUAAACUUCUUUUCAGGGGGAUAAAAUUCUGUAUGUAUACAGGACUGAAGGUACCCUGAGAAUAAGCAUCGGCUAACUCCGUG